UUUUGCUCUAACAGUUGUGGAAGACCCUUUGAUCACAGCUUGUCAGUGAAGCACAAAUGCUAGCCUUGGAACAGAAGUGUGGCAGCACUGGGGUGCCAGGAUGCUGGAGCCAGGCCUGCCAGAGAUCUUUUACCUGUCCAUAGCCAGAUGUUCUGGACAGCAGAAAGCCACAUUGGGCUAGAGACUGAGGAAGAGAGAACAGGAUCAGAAAAAAAUGCCAGGAGAACAGGGAGAUAACAGAGCUCAACUGUGACUGUCAUCCAAGAGAAGAAAGAGGAAGGUGCAGCCCAGACCAACAGCAAAACAGUACUCAAUAUGCAAAUCCAUACAUUUCCUAAAAAGCCACUUCAAUUAUCGAGUCUCCUUCCUUCUCCAUCUGGUACAACUGGAAGAGUUUUAAGGCAGCGAGGUAAUAGGAACAGCACACUCUGGCAGUGAAAGUAUUCAUAUAGCAAAUUAAAAGGGGUAUUGACUCUCACAAUGUCUCUGAAAGCCUCCUCUGCACUUUUCUGUGUGUAAAGCAUUGUUGAUGUGCUGUGUUCAAAGUCAAAUAUUGCAGAUGAAACCAGAAAGUUACCUUUGGGAACUUGCUCUCCUCAUCAAUGAGGGAGAUAAUAUUCAUGGGCUUGAGUGCAAUGACUUCCAGAGCCUGGCGAUUGUCAGUGAAGUCAAUGUUAUUCCAGGUAAUGUGCUCUGCAAGGUAUUCCUCUUGCUCCAGCUUGAAGACAUGGUGCACAAAGAACUGCUGAAGGUGUUCAUUUGCAAUGUUAAUGCAGAGCUGCUCAAAGCUGUAAGGGGACAAGAUGGGAAUCCAUGGUCAUUCCUGGACCUUGGCCAGUGCUGCACUGCUCUAUGGCAUUUGU